UACAGAGGGUGCGAGCGUUAAUCGGAAUUACUGGGCGUAAAGCGCGCGUAGGCGGCUUUGCAAGUCGGGUGUGAAAUCCCCAGGCUUAACCUGGGAACUGCAUCCGAGACUGCAUAGCUAGAGUAUGGGAGAGGGAAGUGGAAUUUCAGGUGUAGCGGUGAAAUGCGUAGAUAUCUGAAGGAACAUCAGUGGCGAAAGCGACUUCCUGGACCAAUACUGACGCUCAUGUGCGAAAGCGUGGGGAGCAAACAGG
rnacentral:rRNA from 1 species